rnacentral:lncRNA from 1 species
AAGAUAUGGAUAAGGGUGUGGUUGAGUGUCUGUGGGUCUGUGAUCAGAGACGGACACUCCGAUGUGACCAUAGACUGCCAUAGAAGAGGGCCAAAGGCCAAUAAGUCUUUGUUCAGUGCCUCGACUGUCACCCUUGCCAGGUGGGCUGGGUUUUGGACAAUCAGUGUCACCUCCCUAUUGUCCAUUGUGAAGUCGUAGGAGAGUCUCUGGCCUUGCAGAUCCACCUCCAACCAAGACCCCCGUUGGUGGUCCGGAGGCAGAGGACUGGUGGAUACGGUGAUUGGGGGUGUUCAUAAGGGUAUAUCUUUGCCAUUUUUGGGUCUUUUCUGCUUUCUUGUUUGGGUAUUGUUGGGAAUGGGGUUAAUAGGGUGAUCCCCCAUUGUAAAACCCUCCGAUGUCACAUCUCGGACAGUGGAAGGGUUUUGGGGCAUUGGGAUUAGGGGAAAAUCUUGGACAUUAAUUGGGGAUAUGGUGGAGGUGACAGUUGCAGUCUUUUCGACUACGUUUAAGGGGGUUUGCAGGUGAGGCAAUCGAGUGCCAUGCCUGUCUUUGGAGAUUUCUCCAUUAUCGUUAGAGAGAGUGGUAUUGGGG